rnacentral:misc_RNA from 1 species
GGCUUCUUUUUUACCGAGAAAGAGAGAUUCUGAAGUAUGAGCAAACGUGUUAUACAUUGAAAUAUGGCUGAGAAUUUGGACAUUUGACAAACAUGAGAAGGGCUUUCAGGAAGGCCUACGUGGAGACAAUCCAGAUACAUAUUUCAGAAUCAUGAAUACUUGCAAAGCUUCUCUUGGUUCAUAUCAUAUUCUAGUUAUCUGAGGCAACAAAUCGAUUUGGG